ACCAAUCUUUCUCUCUUAGUUUUCUCUCUUCUCCCAUUUGAGAAUUCUUAAGGAAUUCUAUUUGUUUGUAAUAUUUUGGAGAUAGUAAAGUUAUCAUCUGGUGUUAGUGCCCGAGGACGUAGGUAUAAUUUACCGAACCUCGUUAAAACUCUUGUGUUCUUUUUGUCCUAUUUUUCUUUCAAUA